rnacentral:lncRNA from 1 species
GUUGUGGGUAACGCGGACGUGGAAGAACCUCGUCUGCGGAGGAAAAGGUAGAUGUUAAAUGGUAACUACGCGCGAGGUUCUGAGGAGCCCUGGGAACAGGAAGGAGAAAAGAAUACCAAAAGUGACAACAGUUUGCCAAUCGCAGUCUUUAAUCUGAUAAAGCGGUUAUCUCGUCUUGAGUCCCAGGUGCCGAGUCAAUCCCCAUACACAGCCGCCGCCAUUGCCUCGAGUCCUUGUGUCUGACUGUCUGUUCCUGCUGCUGUAUGACACAGCACCUCGAGGCAAGGAAAUAAGAAAACUGCCUCUGAUCCAAGCAGAGAAGAACUCCUGUAGCCUGUAAUACCAGCUGUGGGUACUACUCUCAGUGUUGGAGAUCAUCAAAAUACAAUUGGACCAGACCCUUUGGAAAUAAUUCUGUGUCUCAAAUGCCCUGUGGAGCACACACUUAAUCAGUUGAUGGCUAUGGAAUUUUCCAACAUCAGCUAAAGAGAAGGGCCUACUUUAAGGCUGGCCAAUUCUGCAAGAAAGGCAAGGAGGAGGAGACUGGCUCACAGCUCUGGAGGACCCCCUUCU